AGAGAGACAAAGGGCAGGGAGAUCUGGAGCCUUCAAUAAAUCCUGCAGUGAGGUAAUCAGGAUGUUCCUAACUCCUGUCUCAUCCAUCACCUCAUUGAAGCUGGUUGGUCAGCCAGAGAGAGAGAUGGAGAGGGAGAUCUGGAGCCUUCAGUAAAUCCUGCAGCCGCUUCUGGCAACAAAUGGCCACAAACCGAUCAAAGGUGAAAGUGACGGUGAACCAGACAGAGCAGUCAGUGGCUGCAUAAA